GUCCUUUUGUUUAUAUAUUUAAGGUCUAACCUGCUCAAUGACUUUUAUGUUUAAUAGCUGCAGUAUUUUACACUGGACAAAGGUAGCUUAAUCAUUUGUCUUUUAAUUGGAGGCUGGAAUGAAUGGUUGGACAAGAAAUACUCUUUCUUAAAAUUAUAAUAAAAAAAUUAAUUUUUAAGUUAAAAGGCUUAAAUUUUUUUAUAGGACGAGAAGACCCUAUAGAACUUUAUUUAUUAUAUAAAUAAUUUAUUUUAGUAUAUAAAGUUAAAUUAUUUAUAUAAUAAAUUUUGUUGGGGUGACAUAAAAAUUUUAUAGAACUUUUUAUCUUUAAUAUUCAUUUAUUUAUGUUUAUUUGAUCCAUUUUUAUUGAUUAAAAGUUUAAGUUACCUUAGGGAUAACAGCGUUAUUUAUUUGGAGAGUUCUUAUCGAUAAAUAAGUUUGCGA
rnacentral:rRNA from 1 species